rnacentral:rRNA from 1 species
CCUACGGGAGGCAGCAGUGAGGAAUAUUGGUCAAUGGGCGGGAGCCUGAACCAGCCAAGUCGCGUGAGGGAAGAAGGUACUGCGUAUUGUAAACCUCUUUUGCCAGGGGACAACGGCGGCCACGGGUGGACGUAAGCGGGUACCUGGAGAAAAAGCAUCGGCUAACUCCGUGCCAGCAGCCGCGGUAAUACGGAGGAUGCGAGCGUUAUCCGGAUUUAUUGGGUUUAAAGGGUGCGCAGGCGGAUUUUUAAGUCAGCGGUCAAAUCGUGGGGCUCAACCCCAUCCAGCAGUUGAAACUGGGGAUCUAGAGUGUGCGAGAGGUAGGGGGAAUGCGUGGUGUAGCGGUGAAAUGCAUAGAUAUCACGCAGAACCCCGAUUGCGAAGGCAGCAUACCGGUGCACAACUGACGCUGAGGCACGAAAGCGUGGGUAUCGAACAGGAUUAGAUACCCGUGUAGUC